rnacentral:rRNA from 1 species
CCCUUAGAUGUUCUGGGCCGCACGCGCGCUACACUGACGAAGUCAGCGAGCAUCUCCUUCGCCGAAAGGUGCGGGGAAUCUUGUGAAACUUUGUCGUGCUGGGGAUUGAUUUUUGAAAUUCUUGAUCAUCAACGAGGAAUGCCUAGUAGGCGCAAGUCAUCAGCUUGCGUCGAUUACGUCCCUGCCCUUUGUACACACCGCCCGUCGCUCCUACCGAUUGGGUGUGCUGGUGAAAUGUUCGGAUCGGCCGUUUGUCGCGGUUUCCGCGUCAUGUGGCUGAGAAGUUCAUUAAACCCUCCCACCUAGAGGAAGGAGAAGUCGUAACA